GAGUUUUAUAUUAAAUUUUAUUAAAAAUUUUUAUAAAAAUUUAUAUUAAAAUAAAAUAAAAUAUUAUAUUGGGGUGAUAGAAAAAUAAAAUAAACUUUUUUUUAAAAUUUAACAUAAAUAAAUGAUUUUUUGAUCCAUUAUUAAUGAUUAUAAGAAAAAAUUACCUUAGGGAUAACAGCGUAAUUUUUUUUUUUAGGACAAAUAAAAAAAAGAGAUUGC
rnacentral:rRNA from 1 species